rnacentral:siRNA from 1 species
UAUGAGUAGAGAUUCCAAAGGAUG